GCAAGCAAAAAAUACCUGGCCCGAGCAUGGACACUCUUUUCUGUUUUUGUGCCUAAGUAAGCAAUCAUCUGUCUGUGUUCUUUACAGGCUGAGAGUGGCCAUUAAGAAAUGAAAGCGAGUUUAGAUUUCACCGGCAUGUUUGGAUUUGACGACAUUUUGCAUUUCAAGAAACCAAGGUCAGCUCAACCCUUUUUUGCACUGGGACCCAGCCACCACCGUGAUUUAAGCAAAGAGCUACACUGGUGAAUUUAAAGAAGCUGGGCAAGGAGUAACAAUUGCCUGUGACAACUGUCUGUGAAGAAUAUCGUUCUCAGAAAUUCCAAACUGCCCCAGAGCUGUGGCAGGAAAGUCCACAGAUUAUUAUUGGAGGCCGCAUUGUGCCAGAGAUUGAAUAAAGCUCUGAGAGCCUCAUCGUCAAGGAAGACACACACUCACAGACUCACACACGCUCACAUUCUGCUCUCUCCUCUCUCCUCCCUUGCAGCCGGCAUUGCUGUUGGCACAGAGAAAAGAUGUGUGUGAGAGUGGGCAAGGAAUGAACACAAGACUCCGUGCCAAAGCCUCACUCUCCCAUGUGGCAUGUUCCCUUUCUCUUCUCUAGUAGGACUUAGCUACCUCAUGUUAGGUGUCUGCCUGUCCGUCUGCCUGCCUGUCUGUCUAUGAGUGUUUGGUGAGCAUAUUUACGUGUAUACGUACCAAUGGGGCAGCUGCAACAUAUGGUCUGCCUGACACAGGCUGGACAUACCAUAAUUUGCUGACUCAAUACCUAGUGCCUCAUGCGAACUGACUUUCUCUUCUUGAGCAGUGGUCCAUUUUUUUAACCAAACCCUUUCAGACACGACCCAUAAAACUGAAAUAAUGGAAUGUUCACCAUUUAGCUUAGUCAGCCACAUUUUGAGCUGUAAAUCAGAAUUACCUCCAUUUCAGAUGGUAUAAAUGCAACCCAGUGAUCAAGCAUACAUUCAGGAGGGAUACAAUAAUAAUCUGAGACUGCAAUACCCAUGUCCACCCAGGACUGGUGCCCAUGGUCUCCAACACAGAAUGUAAGCGCCUCCGCUUGAAGAAUAAGUAAUUCAGACAGAAGAAUGUACACCAUUGUUGUUCAAAGGUAGCCGUGAAUUUGCCUUAUUCCAACAUAAAUUUAACUUCUGGAAAUGGACAAAGACAAUAAAUAACUCACAUUUGAAUCACAA